rnacentral:rRNA from 1 species
UACGUAUGGGGCAAGCGUUGUUCGGAAUUAUUGGGCGUAAAGGGCACGCAGGUUGUCUAGUAAGUUGGUGGUUUAAUCUCAGGGCUCAACCCUGAACCGGCCAUCAAAACUGCCAGACUAGAGUGCGAGAGGGGAUAGCGGAAUUCUCGGUGUAGCGGUGGAAUGCGUAGAUAUCGAGAGGAACACCAAUGGCGAAGGCAGCUAUCUGGCUCGCAACUGACACUCAUGUGCGAAAGUGCGGGGAGCAAACAGG